UUUAAAAUAUGAAUUGAAUUUAGGUUAUAAAAAAAUGAAGAAUAGAGAGAAAAAGGGAUUGUUACCGCAGAUUGAAGCUUGUUACCGCAGAUUGAAGCAAAUUUGGAGAAUGAUAAAGGGGUCGGCCGUCUAGGGUUUGGAGAAUGAUUGGAGAAAUUGGGACGAUGGCGCUUUGGGAUUUUUAGGGAUUUGGCGAUUUGGGAAUGAAAAUUGGGAAGAAAUUAGGGACGAUGGCGAUUUGGGAAGAAAUUGGGAAGAAAUUUGGGAACGAUGGCGCUUUGUACGUGUUCUCGCGUUCGCGUAAGGGAUGGGAGAAUGAAAAAUGAGAAUGAACAAAUUAAUUAAUUAAUGAACACUAAUAGGGAUUCCAC
rnacentral:lncRNA from 1 species